GCUUCCUACGGGAGGCAGCAGUGGGGGAUAUUGCACAAUGGAGGAAACUCUGAUGCAGCGACGCCGCGUGAGGGAAGACGGUCUUCGGAUUGUAAACCUCUGUCUUUGGGGAAGAAAAUGACGGUACCCAAAGAGGAAGCUCCGGCUAACUACGUGCCGGCAGCCGCGGUAAUACGUAGGGAGCGAGCGUUGUCCGGAAUUACUGGGUGUAAAGGGAGCGUAGGCGGGCGAGAAAGUUGAAUGUUAAAUCUACCGGCUUAACUGGUAGCUGCGUUCAAAACUGGCAAACUGGAGUGUGUGAGAGG
rnacentral:rRNA from 1 species